rnacentral:rRNA from 1 species
UUCCGGUUGAUCCUGCCGGAGGCCAUUGCUAUCGGAGUCCGAUUUAGCCAUGCUAGUCGCACGAGUUCAGACUCGUGGCGAAAAGCUCAGUGACACGUGGCCAAACUACCCUAUGGACGGAACUAACCUCGGGAAACUGAGGCUAAUGUCCGAUACGGCUCUCACGCUGGAACGCCGAGAGCCGGAAACGCCCUGGCGCCAUAGGAUGUGGCUGCGGCCGAUUAGGUUGACGGUGGGGUAACGGCCCACCGUGCCAAUAAUCGGUAUGGGUCAUGAGAGUGAGAACCCAGAGACGGUAUCUGAGACAAGAUACCGGGCCCUACGGGGCGCAGCAGGCGCGAAACCUUUACACUGCACGACAGUGCGAUAAGGGGACUCCGAGUGCGAGGGCAUACAGUCCUCGCUUUUCUGUACCGUAGGGUGGUACAGGAACAAGUGCUGGGCAAGACCGGUGCCAGCCGCCGCGGU